rnacentral:lncRNA from 1 species
UGGAUAGACAUGUUUCCCAUCCAAUUAGCAGUUUUCAUUUUAAGUUUGGAAAAAGAAAUGGAUUUGAGAGCUCAAUCUUUGACAUCUGCAACCUGCUACUGUUUUUAAGUAUGAGAAUUAUGCAAUGAAGGAGCUUCUUUUUAUCUUCAAGUAUUGUUCCUUAAUUUCUUUCAUUUAUUAGAAGAAAAAGGUACAAAAAAGAAUUAUUUCAAAGUGGCAGAUAAAAUAAACAAACAAGCAUAAAUCAAGAUUGAGAGCAAUAAAACCCAUAAUCAGGCAUUGACAAUCAAGACUAAAUCACACAUAAUUUAUUUUUUUAUUUCAUUUAUGUGGCCAUGAAAUGCAAAACCCAGCAUGAAAAGAAAUGGGUGUUGUAAGAAACAAAAAGAAGAAGGAAAAUUCAUCAAUCCGAGUGGGAAUCGUUAUCUGAGUAAGCAUCAGAGUCUGAGGAGGGCAGAUAGGGCGGGGCGGGGUGGUAGUAAAGAUAGGUCCAGAAAGAGAGAGCGAGACGCCCAAAGUGAUGAAGAGGGAGACAGAAGAGGAGAUGUAAAACUUGAUCGCUGCUUAAGCGUUCUGGGUUGCACGCUAUGUAUUGACACAGAUUUGCUGAUACGUUCGCUAUUGUCACCAUCAAACUGCUGUUCAGAACCAUCUCUCUGUCUCUUCUUCUCUUGUUCAAUUUAUUUGUCUGUGUUCUGUCUUUGGUCUUCGCCUGCCCUGGAGUGGUGGCUGUCCGUCUUCGGAUGUUUUGUUGGGUUGCCUUGUAUUCAAGUUUUUUUGGUCUUAUUGAUUUCAUUGGGGAAGGAACGAUGUCGUAUAAGGAAAAUUUCACAAUGUUCCAUCAGAUGAAUAUUGAACAAGAUCAAUUAGUCAGAGUAGAUUAUAAUUCAUUUCUAUAUAUUUUUUUAAUUUACACAUGUAAACAAAUUAAUUAGCCAAAGCAGUAUCUAAUUUAUUCAAAUAAAUAUUUUUUAAAAUAUUACGUUAAAAUUAAAGUUAUAAAUUAUUUUGCUAAUUUAACAAAUUAUUAUUUUCAUAUCGGGGAAGGAAAAUAUAUUAUUAUUGAAAAUUAUUCCAUAAGUAAAGCAUGCAUAAUAUAGUGAAAUGAAAAAAAAAAAAAUUAUAUUGUCUAAAACUUAUUAUAUAAAGACAUAACAGAAGAAGAGAUUUUUCAACAUUCUACACUAUCAAUCAAAGAAAAUAGAGAUGUUCUAAUCCUGAGGGGUGUAGCUCAACUGGUUAUAUUCUGAAUUUGUUCCCUAAAGAUCACCAGUUCGAGUCUCACAAACCUCAGGGUCAUUGAAGGCUUACAUGUUCGUUAACUUCAUGGCCCGUGAGAUUAGUUAAGCUGCGCGCAAACUGAUCCGGACACCCAUAUUAAUAAAACAAAAAAUAAAGAUGUUUUGUUCACUAUUAAAUUUAACUAUUUCUCAUCUCCUUUGUAAUGCUUCGUCUCAUCUCUUCUGUCUUAAAAAAAAGAAAAAAACCAAAUGGUACCUAAAGUCAUAUUGCAUGUUUUUUUUUUUUUUUUGAAGAGAGGAUUGAGUUGAAAGUAAGAGGAUAAAAGUGAAAAAUACUGGUAAAAUAGAUGGUAGCUUUCAAAUUUGUUUGAAAAGUAUAUUUUAGUCCCUAUUUUUUUUAGCUAUUAGAUGACCGGUUCCUCUAAUUUUAGAAAAAUUAAUUUUAGUCCCAAACUUUAUUUUCAUUUAUUUUCGGUCCUUUUUUGGGAGGGAGGAGAGAAAAUAAAUCACCAAAUUUCAAUUUAGAGAGAGAAAGUUGACGUUGCGAUAAUUCUAGCCAUCAAAACAAUAGAUUUUUGUUCAAAAUGGUUCCCUCUGAAAUAUGAGGUUCAAAUUAAAUGUUUUUUUUACCUUAAAAGUAUCUAAAAAACAUAUAUAAGCCCGGAAAGAUUUUUUAUUUUGGGUUAGUUUUGGGUUUUAGAAUGGCUUUUUGCAUUUUUGAAGGUUAUGAAAUUAUUUAACAAGGUUCCAGGGUGUUUUUCUAGGUGUUUUGGGUUGAAAAUAUAUUUUUAGAAGAAAAAAAUCAGCCACCAUAGGGUCUAAAAUCUGGAUAUUCCAGACAAUGCGUUAUCUGCUACAGAUGACAUGUAGUCUAUGUUUCUCAAGCAGAAUUAAGACAAAUGACAUGUCCUCCAUCUCAUUACCUUAUAAGAAAAAUAAAAUCUCACGUGCAGGCUCUUUAUUCGCAGGCCAGGUGCUUGCUCUAAGCUCAUUCUUUUUUCUUUUUUUUAAGUUUUGAUUUUUUUAAUUUAAAUUUUUUUUUAUAAGUUGCUUUUUUUAGAAAAAUGAGUCACGAGUUAUAUUUAUGAGAAUUGAUAUUUUUUAUUAAUGAAAUCUUGUUGAAUAUUGCAUAAAACAAUUAUAUUGAUUUGAAUUUUGCUACAUCCAUGCAUGCCCAGCUUGUAUCUGUACUCUACCAGACACCAAAAUAAAAAAAAAAUAGUUGUUUUUAUUUUGAUACAAUUAUGGUGCCACAUGUUUAAGAGUAAUUUUCAUUACAUCACUGUUCAUGACAUUUAAAAAAAAUCCACAAACAUUUCAUAAAAAAAUGAACACAAGGUUUGAAUAAGGUAAGAAUUUGAUACUCAAAUUAGAACUUUAAAAUCAUAGUUUUAAAUAGGAUAUUUGAUAGUGUAGUAAAUAUUGUUUUUUAAAGUGUUUUUUUUUUCUGAAAUGUAUCAAAAAAAUAUAUUUUUUAUUUUUUUAAAAUUAUUUUUGAUAUCAAUACAUCAAAAUAUCUGAAAAUAUAAAAAAAUAAUUAAUUUAAAUUAAAAAAAAUAAAAAUUAAUUUUUUUCAAAAAAUAUUUUUAAAACACAAAAAUAAACGUUUUGCUUCUUUAGAAAUCAAGGAAUGACCAUGUCAUGUAGAUUCUAUAGCUCUCUUGCAAUGUCUCUGUUUCAAAAUUCAGCAAGUAAAUUAUAUUUGAGAAUAGAAAUCCAACCUCCAUUUUGCAUAUUUACAUAAACUAAUCCAUUUCACUGUGUUUGUUUUCUUAAACAGUGGAAGUUGGAAGGAAAAAAAGCAAGGUAUUUUAUUUAUUUUUGUUAUUGCAUUGAAAACAUAGUUUUUUAAAAAAUUAAAUUUUUUUUUUAAAUUUUUUCUUAUACGUGUUGUUAAAAUUGUUUUGAUACAAUGAUAUUAAAAAUAAUCUUUAAAAAUUAAAUAAAAAAUAUUAUUUUAAUACAUAAAUCAUUUUAAAAAACAACCCUUUGCCACCCAAAUUUUUUAUAUUACCAAAUCUUCAGGCUACUCCUUUUUAUUUUUCAUGUCCGGCUAUUGAAGAAGAUACAACUUCACUUUAAAGUUAUCCAUGUAUAGAUACGUCGGCCAUCCAAUUAGCAGUUUUCAUUUUAAGUUUGGAAAAAGAAUUGGAUUUGAGAGCUCAAUCUUUGACAUCUGCAACCUGCUAUUGUUUUUAAGUAUGAGAAUUAUGCAAUGAAGGAGCUUGUUUUUAUCUUCAAGUAUUGUUCCUUAAUUUCUUUCAUUUAUCAGAAGAAAAAGGUAAAAAGAAAUUAUCUCGAAGUGGCAGAUAAAAUAAAUAAAUAAAGACAAACAAAACAAACAGGCAUAAAUCAAGAUUGAAAGCAAUAAAAUCCAUAAUCAGGCAUUGACAAUCAAGACUAAAUCGCACAUAAUUUAUUUUUUUAUUUCAUUAAUGGGGCCAUGAAAUGCAAAACCCAGCAUGAAAAGAAAUGGGUGUUGUAGGAAACAAAAAGAAGAAGGAAAAUCCAUCAAUCAGAGUGGGAAUCGUUAUCUGAGUAAGCAUCAGAGUCAGAGUCAGGCAGAUUGGCCGGGGUGGGGCUGUAGCAAAGAUAGGUCCAGAAAGAGAGAGCAAGACGCCCAAAGUGAUGAAGAGGGAGACAGAAGAGGAGAUGUAAAACUUGAUCGCUGCUUAAGCGUUCUGGGUUGCACGCUAUGUAUUGACACAGAUUUGCUGAUACGUUCGCUAUUGUCACCAUCAAACCGCUGUUCAGAACCAUCUCUCUGUCUCUUCUCUUGUUCAAUUGAUUUGUCUGUGUUUUGUCUUUGGUCUUUGCCUGCCCUGGAGUGGUGGCUGUCCGUCUUUGGAUGUUUUGUUGGGUUGCCUUAUAAUUGAAGAUAUUGAAGUGUUUUCGUCUUAUUGAUUUCACUGGGGGAAGGAACGAUGUCGUAUUAGAGCUGUUUCAAUUUCAAAUAAGAAUGGGCUUGGUAGUUCUUUCCUAGGCUUUGACCCACAAAUCUUUUAACAAUUUUAGCCAACAAGAAGUCCUUUUAAAAUCUCAUACACAUAAUUUUGAAAAAAAUGAGGUUCAGUAUUUUUUUUGUGUGUGGGUUUUGGCAGAUGUCACUGUGUUUUUUUUAAAAAAAUAUUUUUUUUGUUUUAAAUUAUAUUUUUAUGUAUUUUUAAAUUAUUUUGAUGUGUUAAUAUUUAAAAAAAAUUAUUUUAAUAUAUAUCUAAAUAAAAACACUUUACCUACCAUGAGGCAGAGAAAGCACCAAAUAUUCUAGGUAUGCUGCUUAUAUCCAUAAACUAGCUAUCAAGUAUUUUGAUUCAUUCUAAAUAAUGCAACCUGAUAAAACGCAUCUUGCUUUACCAGUUGUUCCUAGUUGUUCCUAGCAGGAUCAUACACAUCAACUUUGAUGAUUUCAGUCCAACAUAAAUUGGAUAAAUGAGGAUCCAAGUCAAGCUGAAAGGAAGUCAGAAACCUUAAAUAAAGACUUGAUAUCCCUGUUCAUGCAUAGGCUGCUUAUAUCCAUAAACUAACUAUCAAGUACUUUGAUUCAUUCUAAAUAAUGCAACCUGAUUAAAUGCAUCUUGCUUUAC